GAUCAUGGCUCAGAUUGAACGCUAGCGGGAUGCCUUACACAUGCAAGUCGAACGGCAGCGCGGACUUCGGUCUGGCGGCGAGUGGCGAACGGGUGAGUAAUGUAUCGGAACGUGCCCAGUAGCGGGGGAUAACUACUCGAAAGAGUAGCUAAUACCGCAUACGCCCUACGGGGAAAGGGGGGGAUCGCAAGACCUCUCACUAUUGGAGCGGCCGAUAUCGGAUUAGCUAGUUGGUGAGGUAAAGGCUCACCAAGGCGACGAUCCGUAGCUGGUUUGAGAGGACGACCAGCCACACUGGGACUGAGACACGGCCCAGACUCCUACGGGAGGCAGCAGUGGGGAAUUUUGGACAAUGGGGGAAACCCUGAUCCAGCCAUUCCGCGUGUGCGAUGAAGGCCUUCGGGUUGUAAAGCACUUUUGGCAGGAAAGAAAUCGCAUCAAUUAAUACUUGGUGUGGAUGACGGUACCUGCAGAAUAAGCACCGGCUAACUACGUG
rnacentral:rRNA from 1 species